rnacentral:tRNA from 2 species
AAUAAAAUGGCUGAAGAUAAGUGAUAAAUUGUAAAUUUAUUUAUGAGAAUGAUAAUCUCUUUUAUUA